rnacentral:rRNA from 1 species
UACAGAGGGUGCAAGCGUUGUUCGGAAUCAUUGGGCGUAAAGAGCUCGUAGGCGGCUUGUCACGUCGGGUGUGAAAGACCGGGGCUUAACCCCGGUUCUGCAUUCGAUACGGGCUAGCUAGAGUGUGGUAGGGGAGAUCGAAUUCCUGGUGUAGCGGUGAAAUGCGCAGAUAUCAGGAGGAACACCGGUGGCGAAGGCGGAUCUCUGGGCCAUUACUGACGCUGAGGAGCGAAAGCGUGGGGAGCGAACAGG